rnacentral:lncRNA from 1 species
GGGCAGGUGGUUUGAUGAAUAAUCACCUGGCUACUAAAGAAAGAUGUACCCUCAAUGCUAGACCCCAAUUCUAAAGCAUUGUCACUUCUAACAGUUUGAACCACAACAUCAAAUUGGAUUAGCAUUANNNNUUGAUGAAUAAUCCCCUGGCUACUAAAGAAAGAUGUACCCUCAAUGCUAGACCCCAAUUCUAAAGCAUUGUCACUUCUAACAGUUUGAACCACAGCAUCAAAUUGGGUUUUAACCAAACACGGGAAUGACUUAAGCAAAGAAAAAGCAUUGCUUUUAGAU